rnacentral:lncRNA from 1 species
ACUUAUUCCAUGAUAACGAUGACUCAGCUUCUCGGAAUUGGGAAUCAGGGGAAAUAUGACACAGACUGUAAGUUCUGAUUGUGGCUUAAAUUUUUUUUGUCUUGGAAUCUGAGUAAAUCGGUGAAAUCAAGUAUGAUGGUUGAUUAAGUGUUCGUGUUUGUUGUACCUGCUGAAAUAUAUUGUUGUUUUUCGCCGAAUCGGCUGUUCCUCUGGUUUGAUCUACUUCGCUUUUGUUGCAUGUCUGGUAAAAUAGGGAAAAACAAAUGAUGAUGGUUGAUUAAGUGUUUAUGUUUGCUCGCUUUUGUAAGUAUUUUUUGAUUGCUUCUGAUUAGUCAAUUUGUCGGUGUAAAACAUUUUGCGGUGAGACAUCCACUUGUUCCCUAGUUUUUUGUUCUCGUGUUACCUGUUAUCCAAUUUUCGAAGCCACUGGCUCUUUAUUUUCCUUCCGCUUUGUGUAGUCUGCUGAUUUCUAUUCUAGUAUAUUUGUAUGCUAUACCAUACGUAUAUAGACUGAUGUUUUCCAUUCCAUUGACCGCAACCUGUAAUUUCUUUGUUUGUUCACACUGCAUAGGUUUGUUUUAAAGUAUUCUACUCAUAUGGAAUAGCCGUCAGUUGGUAACUGAGAAGGAAUUUGAGAUCUAGUGGCUGUUUGCGGGGAAGCCAAUCCGUUAUGUUCUUCAAGACUUUGCCAUAGUGGCUGAUUUUAACUGUGGCGAAAGUGGGGGCUUCCAUGGUGAGGCGCAAGAGAAAGCUAUUGGACGAGGGAAGGGAACCAUUUAAAAACUCGAG